rnacentral:misc_RNA from 1 species
AAAUCGGGCUUCUAGCUGCGGUAAAUCACAUAAUUAUCUUCUUCACUUUUGGCCAAGAAUCACUUAGCAUAUCAUCUAUAAUCCCGAUCAAGAGCAACUUGUACCAAACUUUAUCAACAAUCAAGUUGCGUUUUCAAUAGAACUAUUUCUGGAUGACUUGUGGAUAUUCCGAGCUUAAUUUGGAAGCAUUCAAAUUGGUGGGUUCCAUCCCAUAAUUGAACUUGAUAAUUCAGCAAACAAGUUAGGUUCUGAUGAGUGGGUACUCACAUCUUUAGGACCUGUUGACUUCCAGAACAGCUAGUCAACAGUCAUUUUCACAGCUUUGUACCCAGCAUUUGCUUUGUGGGGUAUGGUAGGACUUGGG